rnacentral:lncRNA from 1 species
CCCAAAGUGCCUGAGAAGCCUAAAGAACCAGAAAAGCCCAAGCAGCCGGAGAAACCCAAAGAGCCCGAGAAGCCUAAGGAGCCUGAGAAGCCAAAAGAACCGGAAAAACCAAAGGAACCUACGAAACCCAAGGAACCCGAGAAGCCCAAAGAGCCUGAAAAGCCCAAGGAACCCGAGAAGCCCAAACAACCUGAAAAGCCCAAAGAACCUGAGAAGCCCAAGGAAGCUCCUAAACCCGCACCGGUAGCUCCACCACCACAACCACCACCACCGUAUGCUCCAGAGCCAGUGAUAGUGAUGCCAGUACA